rnacentral:rRNA from 1 species
GACGAACGCUGGCGGCGUGCUUAACACAUGCAAGUCGAACGGGAUCCGGGCUUUCGGGUUUGGUGAGAGUGGCGAACGGGUGAGUAACACGUGAGUAACCUGCCCCCUUCUUUGGGAUAACGUCGGGAAAUCGGCGCUAAUACUGGAUAUUCUUGCUGCAUCGCAUGGUGUGGUUUGGAAAGGGUUUCUGGUGGGGGAUGGGCUCGCGGCCUAUCAGCUUGGUGGUGGGGUGAUGGCCGACCAAGGCUUUGCCGGGUAGCCGGCCGGGGAGGGUGGCCGGGGACGCUGGGACUGGGACACGGCCCAGACUGCUACGGGAGGCGGCAGUGGGGGAUAUUGCACAGUGGGCGCAAGCCUGAUGCAGCGACGCCGCGUGAGGGAUGACGGCCUUCGGGUUGUAAACCUCUUUCAGUAUGGAACAAGGAUCCUUCUUUUGGGGGGUUUGAGGGUACGUGCAGAAGAAGCGCCGGCUAACUACGUG